rnacentral:rRNA from 1 species
AUUGAACGCUGGCGGCAGGCUUAACACAUGCAAGUCGAGCGGGGGAAGGUAGCUUGCUACCGGACCUAGCGGCGGACGGGUGAGUAAUGCUUAGGAAUCUGCCUAUUAGUGGGGGACAACAUCUCGAAAGGGAUGCUAAUACCGCAUACGUCCUACGGGAGAAAGCAGGGGAUCUUCGGACCUUGCGCUAAUAGAUGAGCCUAAGUCGGAUUAGCUAGUUGGUGGGGUAAAGGCCUACCAAGGCGUCGAUCUGUAGCGGGUCUGAGAGGAUGAUCCGCCACACUGGGACUGAGACACGGCCCAGACUCCUACGGGAGGAAGCAGUGGGGAAUAUUGGACAAUGGGGGGAACCCUGAUCCAGCCAUGCCGCGUGUGUGAAGAAGGCCUUAUGGUUGUAAAGCACUUUAAGCGAGGAGGAGGCUCUUUUGGUUAAUACCCAAGAUGAGUGGACGUUACUCACAGAAUAAGCACCGGCUAACUCUGUGCCAGCCGCCGCGGUAA